CGCCCACCACCAUCACGUUCCUUUUUAGGCUUGUUGGGUACUGACAGGUAACGGGGCUGAGGAGCCGCGGGCAGCCAGUCUCCAGGAUGCGGGGCCAGCGAUCCUGAAUCAUUUCCCCUCCCCACACACAACCCAUGAGAGGUCCUAGUAUGCAGAUGAGGAUGUGACAGUGAGUUUGGAGUUCACAGUCAACUCUGGAGGCAAUUGAAGUGCCUAACAGGAGCUCUUAGAGAAGCUGAAAGAAGCUAAAGCAUUUUAAAACAUACUAAAUGGGUAUCACUUCUUGGAAUGUUCUCAGAUAUUAUGGCACGAGGGAACCACGGUGACCAUGUGGAUGUAAGACCAAAAAAAGAUGGUGGCGACAGAGCAUGGUGCCCCUCAGCAGCCUGCUUUCCAGUCUCCACAGCCGCCUCCUGCCUCCCCAAGUCCCCCCUCAGGAUUCUCAGGGCUGCAGGAAUGAUUUUUUCCCCCACUUCCUUCCUCGUGGUGACUCAUCCUGUCAGCUUCUCCAAGGCCAUGGGGACUGUGUCUCUGUAGUAGCAAUUCCUGUGAUGCUCUUUA